GGUGGUGGGAGGCGGCUCGGGGAAUACGGCACAUUCUCUUAGCUACCGCAUGAAUACAGUUUGUGGUGUCCAUCAAGUCCUUCUUGUAAAGGUGGUUUGGUAAAUUAACAGCUUCGCUGUAUAAUCAGGCAUACGGUACAGAGGCCAGUGAGCUCUCCCGUUUAACCAGGUCAGCGCCAAGUUAUUACUGGAGAAGGGGAAAAAAACCUACAGAAACGGCAACAACAGGGAAACAUCUAAUCUUUUUAAAGAAAUUAAAUAACAUGGCUCAAAUUUUCAAUGCCUUACGCUAUGAAGAACAGAAGCGAACAGCUCUUCAGGUAUAAAUCUUCCCCUUUUGCUAAUAUGAAUUACUGCGAGUCCCCUGAACCGCCACUGAACUGUAAACACUGUUUUAAUGGACAGUAAUGGCACCGUGUGAUUUUUAGCCAUUGUUCCAAAAUGACUACUGUGUUUAUGGCUGCCAUUAA